CCUACGGGCGGCAGCAGUGGGGAAUUUUGCACAAUGGGGGAAACCCUGAUGCAGCGACGCCGCGUGAUUUAGAAGGCCUUCGGGUUGUAAAAAUCUUUUGUAUGGGUAGAAAAUGACAGUACCAUACGAAUAAGGACCGGCUAAUUACGUGCCAGCAGCCGCGGUAAUACGUAAGGUCCGAGCGUUGUCCGGAAUCAUUGGGCGUAAGGGGUACGUAGGCGGAUAAGCAAGUUAGAAGUGAAAUCCUAUAGCUCAACUAUAGUAAGCUUUUAAAACUGUUCAUCUUGAGGUAUGGAAGGGAAAGUGGAAUGCCUAGUGUAGCGGUGAAAUGCGCAGAUAUUAGGAGGAAUACCGGUGGCGAAGGCGACUUUCUGGCCAUAAACUGACGCUGAGGUACGAAAGCGUGGGUAGCAAACAGGAUUAGAUACCCGAGUAGUC
rnacentral:rRNA from 1 species